GGGGGGGGCAAGCGUUUGUUCGGAAUUACUGGGCGUAAAGGGCGCGCAGGCGGCCUGGCCAGUCCUACGUGAAAUCCCACAGCUCAACUGUGGAACUGCGUGGGAUACUGCCAGGCUUGAGUCCGGGAGAGGAGAGUGGAAUUCCCAGUGUAGCGGUGAAAUGCGUAGAUAUUGGGAGGAACACCGGUGGCGAAGGCGGCUCUCUGGACCGGCACUGACGCUGAGGCGCGAAAGCUAGGGGAGCAAACGGGGGAUUAGAUACCCCGGUAGUCCUAGCCCUAAACGAUGAGCACUUUGUGUGGCGGGUAUCGACCCCCUGCCGUGCAGAAGCUAACGCAUUAAGUGCUCCGCCUGGGGAUACGGUCGCAAGGCUG
rnacentral:rRNA from 1 species